rnacentral:rRNA from 1 species
UACGGAGGGGGCUAGCGUUGUUCGGAAUUACUGGGCGUAAAGCGCACGUAGGCGGUUUUGUAAGUUAGAGGUGAAAGCCCGGAGCUCAACUCCGGAAUUGCCUUUAAGACUGCAUCACUUGAACGUCGGAGAGGUGAGUGGAAUUCCGAGUGUAGAGGUGAAAUUCGUAGAUAUUCGGAAGAACACCAGUGGCGAAGGCGGCUCACUGGACUGGUAUUGACGCUGAGGUGCGAGAGCGUGGGGAGCAAACAGG